ACUCAUCAUAACACAACUUCUAACUUGUCCUCUCUCUUGAUGAGUUUGUUGCCCGGAACAAUAGUCAUCAAGAAAUAAUUAAAGGGCUGAAGCUUGAAAAUACUUUUGAGUAUUGAAAAAGGGGAAGAAAAUGUGAGGGGGGGAGACGCAACUGGAGGAUAAAAAAAGAUGUAGAACCAACAACGGAGUUAGCUGCUGAACGAUAAGAAGUGCCUCAUUACUACUAUUAGUAAUUUGUUUUGCUCUCAAGAACAGGAGUUUGGAUUUGUGAAAAAAUUAAAGAAGGUAUGAGCAGGGACGCAACUAGAGAA